rnacentral:rRNA from 1 species
GGGGGGGGGGCGUGCUUUACCUUGCAGUCGAACGGGGAUUACACGGAGAUGCGAUUUCGGUCAAAUCAAGUGCACUCUUAAUGGCGGACGGGUGAGUAACGCGUGGGUAACCUGCCCUGCACUGGGGGAUAACACUUAGAAAUAGGUGCUAAUACCGCAUAAGCGCACGGUCCUGCAUGGGACAGUGUGAACCCCUCCGGUGGUGCAAGAUGGACCCGCGUCUGAUUAGCUGGUUGGCGGGGUAAAGGCCCACCAAGGCGACGAUCAGUAGCCGGCCUGAGAGGGUGGACGGCCACAUUGGGACUGAGACACGGCCCAAACUCCUACGGGAGGCAGCAGUGGGGGAUAUUGGACAAUGGGGGGAACCCUGAUCCAGCGACGCCGCGUGAGUGAAGAAGUAUUUCGGUAUGUAAAGCUCUGUCAGCAGGGAAGAAAGCAAUGACGGUACCUGACCAAGAAGCCCCGGCUAACUACGUGCCAGCAGCCGCGGUAAUACGUAGGGGGCAAGCGUUAUCCGGAAUUACUGGGUGUAAAGGGAGCGUAGACGGCUGUGCAAGUCUGGAGUGAAAGGCGGGGGCCCAACCCCCGGACUGCUCUGGAAACUGUAUGGCUGGAGUGCAGGAGAGGUAAGCGGAAUUCCUAGUGUAGCGGUGAAAUGCGUAGAUAUUAGGAGGAACACCAGUGGCGAAGGCGGCUUACUGGACUGUAACUGACGUUGAGGCUCGAAAGCGUGGGGAGCAAACAGGAUUAUAUACCCUGGUAAUCCACGCCGUAACGAUGAUUACUAGGUGUCGGUGGGU